UACAGAGGUGGCAAGCGUUGUUCGGAAUUACUGGGCGUAAAGGGCGCGUAGGCGGUUCGUUAAGUCCUGUGUGAAAUCCCCCGGCUCAACUGGGGAACUGCACAGGAAACUAGCGGGCUUGAGUUCGGGAGAGGGAAGCGGAAUUCCGGGUGUAGCGGUGAAAUGCGUAGAUAUCCGGAGGAACACCGGUGGCGAAGGCGGCUUUCUGGACCGACACUGACGCUGAGGCGCGAAAGCUAGGGGAGCAAACGGG
rnacentral:rRNA from 1 species